AGUGAUCGCUGGCGGUAGACCUAACACAUGCAAGUCGAACGGCAGCACAGUAAGAGCUUGCUCUUACGGGUGGCGGGUGGCGGACGGGUGAGGAAUACAUCGGAAUCUACUUUUUCGUGGGGGAUAACGUAGGGAAACUUACGCUAAUACCGCAUACGACCUACGGGUGAAAGCAGGGGAUCUUCGGACCUUGCGCGAUUGAAUGAGCCGAUGUCGGAUUAGCUAGUUGGCGGGGUAAAGGCCCACCAAGGCGACGAUCCGUAGCUGGUCUGAGAGGAUGAUCAGCCACACUGGAACUGAGACACGGUCCAGACUCCUACGGGAGGCAGCAGUGGGGAAUAUUGGACAAUGGGCGCAAGCCUGAUCCAGCCAUACCGCGUGGGUGAAGAAGGCCUUCGGGUUGUAAAGCCCUUUUGUUGGGAAAGAAAAGCAGCAGGUUAAUACCCCGCUGUUCUGACGGUACCCAAAGAAUAAGCACCGGCUAACUUCGUG
rnacentral:rRNA from 1 species